GGCAGAGUAUCAGAUCACUCCUUUGGUGGCUAGAGAAGACAUAUAAAGUGUGGUUGGUGUAGUGCUGUGGGCUGCCAAAACAAGAAAACAUGUGGCUAGAGAAGACAUAUAAAGUGUGGUUGGUGUAGUGCUGUGGGCUGCCAAAACAAGAAAACAUGUACAAAGUAAAACUGGCAGUAGCAC